UACGGAGGGGGCGAGCGUUAUUCGGAAUUAUUGGGCGUAAAGGGCGCGUAGGCGGCUCUAUAAGUCAAAGGUGAAAUCCCUCGGCUCAACUGAGGAACUGCCUUUGAAACUGUUGGGCUUGAGGCCGGGAGAGGGUAGUGGAAUUCCCAGUGUAGCGGCGAAAUGCGUAGAUAUCUGGAGGAACACCGGUGGCGAAGGCGGCGACCUGGUCCGAUACUGACGCUGAGGCGCGAAAGCGUGGGGAGCAAACAGG
rnacentral:rRNA from 1 species